GUCAUAAGGGCCAAUAUGAAGGGGAAGAUGUCUCCCAUCUUGUCAUCAUUCCUUCAGAGCUAUUCAAAACCCACAGGACUUGAAACUCAGCUUUGACUGGACAAACCUUUCCUCUGGUCUAAUCAUGAAAUCCACUGUUACACUCUUCAGCUGACUCCAGAUGUGCUACUUUAAAAAAUACAAAUCCCUGCUUGUCUCACUUUGUUUAUCUCCCUGUGUAUUUCUGUGCUACUGCAUUUAUAUAAAAAAAAAUCAC